GCAUAUCAAUAAGCGGAGGAAAAGAAACCAACUGGGAUUGCCUUAGUAACGGCGAGUGAAGCGGCAAUAGCUCAAAUUUGAAAGCUGGCGUCUUCGGCGUCCGCGUUGUAAUUUGUAGAGGAUGCUUCGGCGAGGGCUCCGGUCUAAGUUCCCUGGAACGGGACGUCAUAGAGGGUGAGAAUCCCGUAUGUGAUCGGCUGCCUAAGCCAUGUGAAGCUCCUUCGACGAGUCGAGUUGUUUGGGAAUGCAGCUCUAAAUGGGAGGUAAAUUUCUUCUAAAGCUAAAUACCGGCCAGAGACCGAUAGCGCACAAGUAGAGUGAUCGAAAGAUGAAAAGCACUUUGGAAAGAGAGUUAAAAAGUACGUGAAAUUGUUGAAAGGGAAGCGCUUGCAACCAGACUCGUCCGCAGUUGCUCAGCCGGUCUCCUGACCGGCGUACUCUUCUGCGGCCGGGCCAGCAUCAGUUCGGGCGGCCGGAUAAAGGCCUCGGGAAUGUAGCACCCUUCGGGGUGUGUUAUAGCCCGGGGUGGAAUGCGGCCAGCCUGGACUGAGGAUCUCGCUUCGGCUAGGAUGCUGGCGUAAUGGUUGUAAGCGGCCCGUCUUGAAACACGGACCAAGGAGUCUAACAUCUAUGCGAGUGUUUGGGUGUCAAACCCAUGCGCGUAAUGAAAGUGAACGGAGGUGGGAACCCUCACGGGUGCACCAUCGACCGAUCCUGAUGUCUUCGGAUGGAUUUGAGUAUGAGCAUAGCUGUUGGGACCCGAAAGAUGGUGAACUAUGCCUGAAUAGGGUGAAGCCAGAGGAAACUCUGGUGGAGGCUCGCAGCGGUUCUGACGUGCAAAUCGAUCGUCAAAUUUGGGUAUAGGGGCGAAAGACUAAUCGAACCAUCUAGUAGCUGGUUCCUGCCGAA
rnacentral:rRNA from 1 species